rnacentral:rRNA from 1 species
AGUGAACGCUGGCGGUAGGCCUAACACAUGCAAGUCGAACGGCAGCACAGUAAGAGCUUGCUCUUACGGGUGGCGAGUGGCGGACGGGUGAGGAAUACAUCGGAACCUACUUUUUCGUGGGGGAUAACGUAGGGAAACUUACGCUAAUACCGCAUACGACCUACGGGUGAAAGCAGGGGAUCUUCGGACCUUGCGCGAUUGAAUGAGCCGAUGUCGGAUUAGCUAGUUGGCGGGGUAAAGGCCCACCAAGGCGACGAUCCGUAGCUGGUCUGAGAGGAUGAUCAGCCACACUGGAACUGAGACACGGUCCAGACUCCUACGGGAGGCAGCAGUGGGGAAUAUUGGACAAUGGGCGCAAGCCUGAUCCAGCCAUGCCGCGUGGGUGAAGAAGGCCUUCGGGUUGUAAAGCCCUUUUGUUGGGAAAGAAAAGCAGCAGGUUAAUACCCCGCUGUUCUGACGGUACCCAAAGAAUAAGCACCGGCUAACUUCGUG